rnacentral:rRNA from 1 species
AUUGAACGCUGGCGGCAGGCCUAACACAUGCAAGUCGAGCGGAUGAAGGGAGCUUGCUCCUGGAUUCAGCGGCGGGCGGGGGAGUAAUUCCUAGGAAUCUUCUUCGUAGUGGUUUAUGACGUCCUCAGGCGGCUGCUACUACCUCCUACUUGCUGCUGGAGCUGGUGGGUGGUCUUCGGACCUCAUGCUAUCUGAGGCUCGUACGUCGGAUUUGCUAGUUGGUGGGGUGAAGGCCUACCAAGGCGACGAUUGGCAGCUGGUCGGAGAGGAUGAUUAGUCACACGGGAACUGAGACACGGUCAAGACUACUAAGGGAGGGAGCAGAGGGGAAUAUUGGACAAUGGGCGAAAGCAUGAUACAGCCAUGCCGAGUGUGUGAAGGAGGUCUUCGGAGUGUAAAGAACUUUAAGUUGGGAGGAAGGGCAGUAAGUUAAGACCUUGCUGUUUUGACGUUACCAACAGAAUAAGCACCGGCUAACUUCGUG